UAGGGAAUCUUCGGCAAUGGACGAAAGUCUGACCGAGCAACGCCGCGUGAGUGAAGAAGGUUUUCGGAUCGUAAAACUCUGUUGUUAGAGAAGAACAACGACGUUAGUAACUGAACGUCCCCUGACGGUAUCUAACCAGAAAGCCACGGCUAACUCCGUGCCAGCAGCCGUGGUAAUACGUAGGUGGCAAGCGUUGUCCGGAUAUAUUGGGCGUAAAGCGAGCGCAGGCGGUUUCUUAAGUCUGAUGUGAAAGCCCCCGGCACAACCGGGGAGGGUCAUUGGAAACUGGGAGACUUGAGUGCAGGAGAGGAGAGAGGAAUUCCAUGUGUAGCGGUGAAAUGCGUAGAUAUUUGGAGGAACACCAGUGGCGAAGGCGGCUCUCUGGUCUGUAACUGACACUGAGGCUCGAAAGCAUGGGGAGCAAACAGG
rnacentral:rRNA from 1 species